rnacentral:rRNA from 1 species
GAUGAACGCUGUCGGCGUGCCUAAUACAUGCAAGUCGAGCGAACGGACGAGAAGCUUGCUUCUCUGGUGUUAGCGGCGGACGGGUGAGUAACACGUGGAUAACCUACCUAUAAGACUGGGAUAACUUCGGGAAACCGGAGCUAAUACCGGAUGAUAUUUUGAACCGCAUGGUUCAAAAGUGAAAGACGGUCUUGCUGUCACUUAUAGAUGGAUCCGCGCUGCAUUAGCUAGUUGGUAAGGUAACGGCUUACCAAGGCAACGAUGCAUAGCCGACCUGAGAGGGUGAUCGGCCACACUGGAACUGAGACACGGUCCAGACUCCUACGGGAGGCAGCAGUAGGGAAUCUUCCGCAAUGGGCGAAAGCCUGACGGAGCAACGCCGCGUGAGUGAUGAAGGUCUUCGGAUCGUAAAACUCUGUUAUUAGGGAAGAACAUAUGUGUAAGUAACUGUGCACAUCUUGACGGUACCUAAUCAGAAAGCCACGGCUAACUACGUG